rnacentral:rRNA from 1 species
UACGGAGGGAGCUAGCGUUGUUCGGAAUUACUGGGCGUAAAGCGCACGUAGGCGGCUUUGUAAGUUAGAGGUGAAAGCCCGGGGCUCAACUCCGGAACUGCCUUUAAGACUGCAUCGCUUGAAUCCAGGAGAGGUGAGUGGAAUUCCGAGUGUAGAGGUGAAAUUCGUAGAUAUUCGGAAGAACACCAGUGGCGAAGGCGGCUUUCUGGGCCUUACCUGACGCUGAGACGCGAAAGCGUGGGGAGCGAACCGG